rnacentral:rRNA from 1 species
AUUGAACGCUGGCGGCAUGCCUUACACAUGCAAGUCGAACGGCAGCGCGGACUUCGGUCUGGCGGCGAGUGGCGAACGGGUGAGUAAUGUAUCGGGACGUACCAUUCAGUGGGGGAUAACGCAGCGAAAGUUGCGCUAAUACCGCAUAUUCUGUGCGCAGGAAAGCAGGGGAUCGCAAGACCUUGCGCUGAUUGAGCGGCCGAUAUCAGAUUAGCUAGUUGGUGAGGUAAAGGCUCACCAAGGCGACGAUCUGUAGCGGGUCUGAGAGGAUGGUCCGCCACACUGGAACUGAGACACGGUCCAGACUCCUACGGGAGGCAGCAGUGGGGAAUUUUGGACAAUGGGCGCAAGCCUGAUCCAGCCAUGCCGCGUGAGUGAAGAAGGCCUUCGGGUUGUAAAGCUCUUUCGGCCGGGAAGAAAUCGUAUGGGUUAAUACCCUGUGCGGAUGACGGUACCGGCAUAAGAAGCACCGGCUAACUACGUGCCAGCCGCCGCAGUAAUAC